AUAUAUACCAACACAAUAUUCAAAAUUCCUGUAUUAUAUAUUUAGAUAAGUCAGUUUAAAAGAGGUGCUCCAGAAGGGUAUUAAAGCUGAUUCCUGUUUCAUAUGUUGCAUUCGUAAUAUUGCACAUGUAAGUUGAAGACCCUGUCGGGGCUCCAACAAUUGAACAUUUCCUUAGUUAUUUGUGAAACAGGUGUUCCAUAACUGUCAACAAAAAAGUGACGGUCUCUGUUCAUCUUUUUGUAUGGAUAACUUCAACUUUUUCACUGGUAGCCCUUGAUUUAAUACCUUCUUUGUAAGGAGAAGCUCUCUAACAUGGAAAUAAAACUAUUAUAGAAAACCAACGACCUGGAUGAUAGUAUUAUUUGGGAGAUAUAAACUCCAUAUGCAGGCACUGCUGGAUUGUUGCUACAUACAAAUGGGAAGUUCACAAUUGGAAUGCUAACAUUUCAACAACCAAAAUGUAAAUGUAAAAAGUAUUGUAACAUGUAGGUAGUCACAUGACAUGUGAAGACAUUUUGAAUACGGUAUACAACUUUAGUAUAUAGAUGUCCAUGAGCUUGUUCUCAGGAAAUAAUAAAUUAUGUUUUAUUUGAUUUUAUAGAUUUGAACUUUUAUUUACAAAUGGGUUGGUAAAUUUCGUUAUUAUGUCUGUAUGCAUUUUUUCGUAGCUUGACAAUACCAGGGAAAACUAGAGAGCAGAAUGAAAAUGGUUUAAUUUUGACCAUUGAAGAACUGUUUUGUUAAAGUAUUAAUUGCAUUUUUAAUUUGCCAUGCAU
rnacentral:lncRNA from 1 species